rnacentral:rRNA from 1 species
CCCUUAGAUGUUCUGGGCAGCACGCGCGCUACAAUGGUCUUCGCAAACGGAUGCAUUCUCGAAGGAGAAUGCCAAUCUUGGAAUCUAUGCCUUGGUCGGGACAGUUGCUUGCAAUUUUUCGACUCGAACCAGGAAUUCCUUGUAAUCGUGAUUCAUCACAUCACGAUGAAUACUUCCCUGCCCUUUGUACACACCGCCCGUCGCUCCUACCGAUCGAAGAGUUAGGUGAAUUGUUUUGAUCGAUAAGAUUUGACUAUGGUCAACUCUCGUUGUGAAAUUCUGUGAAUCUGACUGUUUAGAGGAAGGAAAAGUCGUAACA